rnacentral:lncRNA from 1 species
CGAAAGAGAAACUACUUUCUGCGGUCUAUAAUGAAUCCAACAAGCACGCCUGUGCUGUCUUAAACCUCAUAGAAAUUAUCUAAAUAACUCCAAUUAGAAAUCACAGCAUUCUGUACGUUGUUCUGUGUGCAGCCUGACUUAAAAACACUGUUUUUUUUUUUGUUUUAGACGCGUAGGAGAAGGCAUUUCGUGUUUAUGAUAUCAACAGAAAAGAAAAAACGCCUCACAACAAAAUUAUAAACAAAUAAACAAAUAAACAUGUAACAAUUUUUCUUCUAUUGAUAUCAAAUUAAUUAAAAUGAAACCUGAAUUGACCCAACAAUAUCGUUUUAAAAAGCCGUAGUCUUGAACGAAAAACACAGUACUCAACGUAAAGUUUUAUAAUAGGUUACAAAUAAUUAAUGAAAGACGUGUGAAUUUAAUUGUUUAAUUAAAAAGACGUUGAAAUGUUCGUAUUUUGUGCAAUUGAAAAUUUAAGGACAUGAUUUAUAUUCAUAUAAGAAAUCAGACGAUACCAAGAGAAUAAUUUGACCACUAGUGCAAAACUUACCAGUCGGAAGAACAAAGACGGAAAACAAACAAAAAAUAAACAAAUUAUGCCCCAAAAAUUACUCAGUAACUUAAAAAUUGUCUCACUCUAACAUUUAUCUUAAAAAUAAGUAAAAAUUAUGUCAUUCAACUCCCAGUUUUCAACUUUUUCUACAUGUGCAGAAAAUAAACAGGUGUCUUCUAUUCCGUCCGCAAUUUAUGGGAAAACUAAAUCUAAAUUUAGAACCAUAUUGAAAUUGAAAGUACACAUGUAAGAUAAAAUAUAACAUGUCAUUUCUUCUUUCACAAAUUCCAAUUUCGAAGAGAUAUAUAGCGAAAUCUGUUUUCUUUUAUUGUGCCUGUGUGCAUCAUUCAAAAUUAGAGAAUGUAAUUUUGAAGUAUCAAGUCUCAAUUCAAGAUUAUGAAUGAAUAGAAUAUAGAAUUACGGGGGGGGAGGGGGGUAGGACCUUUAUCGGAACUCCGGGAUCGGGUGUUUUUAAGCUCGGGAUUUCGGGAUUGACCCUUUCGGGAUCCGGGAAUUCUAUUUCCGAAUUUCGGGUAGUCGGGAUUUAAAUUUUUUUUUAAAUUCGGGACCUCGCCGGAUUUCGUGUUUUUAAGCCCGGGAUUUCGGGAUCUGGAUCCCUCCUUCCCUCCUCCCUCUAUUAUGGUUAAAGAAAAGAGGUCAGGGAAGUUUUGUGAUACUUGUAACUGCAAUUUAAUAUUUAGUGGAAUGAGAGGUGAAAUGUGUUCAGACUAUUACAUUUCGAUUUUUUUUUUUAAAUUUAACCAAAGUUUACUGCAAGGGGUGUUUAACGACCUCGAUGAUUAUCCAUGAGGAUCUCGCACUCGGUCAGCUCUAGGUUUUCACCUAGUUCAUGAUCAUACAAGAAUUGAGAAGCCUGUGGUUUACUAGUCUUAUAAUAUGAGACUUUGGAGUUCAUAUAAUUUACAUUCAACGUUUUUUAUCGAAUAUUUCAAGGCUUUUUGACUAUCAAUGUUGACCCCCCCCUUUCCAAUUGAUUGGAUAAAAUGAAUGGAUUGCCGCCCCUAUUUCAAACUGAAGU